GUGACUGCCUCCAUUCAGUCGCUGCAAAGAACUACAUAGCGCUGCCAGCUGGAAGGAACGUCACAUUAGGUUAUGAUGUGUCAGAGCCUACGAGGAAAGAGCGCCAGGCAAAACAAUGAACAAGUGAGCCAGGAGGCUGGGCCCCUGUGAAAUUCUAGACUUCUACAGGCCUCCAGGACGUGACAUGUUACUAGGAGGGCAGAAAUUCACUCCGAGGAAUGGCUAAAAACAUGGACUAUCCCAACCCAUUUCUCGAGGCAAUUCCAUUCGGUGACGAUUCCUUGGGCCCUAACCCGUGGAGGAAGGAGCAGAGGAACGGCGCCUGGAUUUUCUGGAGAACCGUCUCUGCCUAUGAUGUCAACGUUCUCUUUGAAGCCGAUGUACUCCGAGGACAUCUUAGAAAUGUGCUUAGAAGUGAAUUGCUGGAAUUCAUGAUGGUCAAUAGGGGAAAAAUAAGUAGGGGAAAUAGGGUGGUGGAUGCUUCGCCUAUUGUCUCCCAUAGCUUUGCGUAUGAACACACACACUGACCUGCCAUUUUCCACACACAACCCUGUGUGCAGUCAGUCCGUUGCGAGGGGGGAUUUACAAACUUUCAGAGUCUUCUGCUACACCUUGGAGAGAAUCCAAAAAUCCUGGGACAAUUAUAUUCAUUCAGUUCUGCCGUGAAGGAACCAUGACUAUUAAUUUUCUCCAAAAUGGAGCGGAGAAGUUUGCAAAGCUUUAGCUUUGUACUGAACAUGUUUGAACAAAAACAGAAGACGAGUCUUUGAAAAACCAAAGAAAACACAUAUUUAUACACACACAAAGCAAGGAAGGGGGGGAGGUAGAAGAAAGAACGUACAGUACUUGUAUAACGUGAGACGGAGAGUUACAAUUUCUUGGCUAAAUUUGCAUUCCGGGGGGAAUUAUAUGCAGUUAAUGCUAAAAUAUCCCCGUACGGGGCAUUUUGUUUUCCCUUGAUGGCUCAAAAUCUAUGUUCCUUGCCCAGCAUGUUGAUGGAAUGAGAGAAUUCCCUUCCAGCCCUAUAUUUAUUAUAGGGCCUUUCGUGGCGAGUGACGGGCAGACCCAACAGAUUUCCUUGUUGAUGGAAGGGCUAGAAAUGCUAAUAUAAAGAUUACUGUGGGAAUCUGCCAUGGGGAUUCUGCAGCGGUGUGGGGAGCAACUGGUCCGAAAAGCCAAAAUUACAGACUAUUUAUGGACAAAGAAAAUUCAGUGGUGGAACCACCAAUAGGCUGAAAUGCGAGGAAGAAUAAAGAGAUGCCACAAAAGCCACCAGUGGCAGGAAGAUGGAAAGGAUA